rnacentral:rRNA from 1 species
GUCCAACUCCACGCGCGAUCCGAGUCACCGGGCGCUCCCAUGAGUUUCCACGCAGGAUCCGAGUCAGUCAAGCGUUCAACUCUUCCGACCGAAUCCCCAGGGAUCUCGCGCCCAUGCCACUCCUCCCCCGCUAACCUCUCUCCCUAUUUUCCAACCGAUUUACAGCUCACCUGUGGUAGAAUUUUUUCUCCUUCCGUUUCGCGAGUCUUCCUCGCUCGCUCGCUCGCUCUAUAAGACCCGGCUGCCGCGCCACACCUGCUUCCACCAUUCUCGGAUUCCUACGCAUUCGUUUCUUCCCAGCGUCACACCCCCUCCCCAGCCAGACGUUCCCUCACUGCACCGAUCAACACCAGCGUCGUCUCCGACUUCUUCUUCCUCCUCUAGCUACUCGGUUCUUGAUUCCUCUGAUCCGUCGUUCGUUCGCUGGUCAGUGGUUUCAUCCAUCGUCCGGUCACAGGAAAAGAACAGCCAGCGUCUCUUUCCAUUGCUUUCUAGCGACCCCUCCGACCCCGACCUUCCAUGGCCAUCGCCUCCCGCAUCACGAAGCGCGCGCUCUCCACCUUCGCCGCCGCAGCCAAGCUCCCGGAGGCGGCCGUCGCGGCCGCCGGCGCCGAGGCGGUGCCCGUGCCGUCGUCCGCGCAGCAGCAGCAGCAUCAGGUGCUGGAGUUUGAGGACACCGGGAGGCUCUUCACCGGGGAGCCGUCCACGGCUCUGGUGCGCACGCUCGCGGCGCUGCAGUUGAUGUCCGCGGGCCCGCUGGUGGACGUGGGCCUCGCGGCGCUGCGGUCUCCGGCGGUGGCCGCGAGCCCCGUGGUCCAGGCCGCGGCGCGGGCCACGGCGUACAAGCACUUCUGCGCCGGGGAGACCGCCGAUGAGGCCGCGGCCCGGGUGCAGCGCCUCUGGCGCGGUGGCAUGGGCGGGAUCCUCGACUACGGCAUCGAGGACGCCGAGGACGGCGCCGCCUGCGACCGCAACGUCGCCGGCUUCCUCGCCGCUGUCGACGUCGCCGCCGCGCUGCCCCCGGGAUCGGCGAGCGUGUGUAUUAAGAUCACGGCGCUGUGCCCGAUCGCGCUGCUGGAGAAGACGAGCGACCUGCUGCGGUGGCAGCACAAGAACCCGUCGGUGCACCUGCCGUGGAAGCAGCACGCCUUCCCGAUCCUGUCCGACUCGAGCCCGCUGUACCUGACGCCGUCGGAGCCGGCGGCGCUGACGGCGGAGGAGGAGCGCGAGCUGCAGCUGGCGCACGACCGGCUGCUGGCCGUGGGCGCGCGGUGCGCGGAGCACGACAUCCCGCUGCUGGUGGACGCCGAGUACGCGUCGGUACAGCCGUCCAUCGACUACUUCACGUUCGUGGGCGCGCUGGCGUGCAACGGCGGCGGGCGGCCUAUCGUGCACGGCACCGUCCAGGCGUACCUCCGCGACGCGCGCGACCGGCUGGAGGCCAUGGUGCGCGCGGCCGAGGAGGAGCGCGUGUGCCUCGGGGUCAAGAUCGUCCGCGGCGCCUACCUCACCAGGGAGGCCCGGCUGGCGGAGUCGCUGGGCGUGCCGUCGCCCAUCCACGGCAGCAUCCAGGACACCCACGACUGCUACAACGGCUGCGCGGCCUUCCUCCUGGAGCGCGUCCGCCGCGGGUCGGCGUCCGUGAUGCUGGCCACCCACAACGUGGAGUCCGGGCAGCUGGCGGCGGCGAGGGCGCAGGAGCUGGGCAUCGGCAAGGGCGACCGGAACCUGCAGUUCGCGCAGCUGAUGGGCAUGGCCGACGGGCUGUCCCUGGGGCUCCGCAACGCCGGUUUCCAGGUGAGCAAGUACCUGCCCUACGGCCCCGUGGAGCACAUCAUCCCCUACCUCAUCAGGCGGGCCGAGGAGAACAGAGGACUGCUCUCCGCUUCCGCCUUCGACCGGCAGCUGCUCCGGAAGGAGCUGGUUAGGAGGUUCAAGAACGCGGUGAUGGGACGGGAGUGAGAUGGCCGACGGGAGGUUCACGGGAGAGAAGCGACGGAGUUAGAAGUUGUAAAUAUGCAUUGUUGUAUCGCGACCUGAAUGAAAUAAACGAAAUAAUGCUCUUGUUCAAUCGUCAGCCUCCGGUUCAAGUACUGCACCAAGCUGUUAUUUUUUACCUUUUUGAAAAGAAGCACGUGUUGCUGUGUUUAUUUUAUAUUUUUAUCUAGGGAUCCAGACAUCUACAAACACACCCAGUGAACCACCAAAUGGUCAUAUACUCCUAAAACGCCCUCGCGGGCUAUUGUCCAUAUAAAUGAAUCAGACAAAUGAUUAUGGUCGUCUUCAAGGAUG